AUGUUCUUAUGGCUGGAUACUUGCCUUUUGACGAGCCAAACUUUAUGGCUUUGUAUAGUAAGAUUUGCAGUGCUGACUUCACAUUUCCAUCGUGGUUCUCUUCUGGUGCAAGGAAACUGAUAAAGCGCAUUCUUGAUCCAAACCCUGUUACACGGAUAACCAUUUCUGAAAUAUUGGAAGAUGAAUGGUUCAAGAAAGGAUACAAGCCCCCGCAGUUUGAGCAGGAAGACGAUGUAAAUCUUGAUGAUGUUGAUGCUGC
rnacentral:misc_RNA from 1 species